rnacentral:lncRNA from 1 species
UUUUUUUUUUUUUUUUUAAGACAGGGUCUUGCUGUAUCACCGAGGCUAGAGUACAGUGGCACAAUCUGGGCUCUCUGCAGCUUUGACUGCCUGGGCUUAAGCAAUCUUCCCACCUCAGUAGCUGGGACCACAGGCAUGUACCACCAUGCCCAGCUAAUUUUUAAAAUUAUUUACGGAGACAAGGUCUUGUUAUGUUGCCCAGACCAGUCUUGAACUCCUGGGCUUAAGCGAUCCUCCUACCCUGGCUUCUAAAAGUGCCAGGAUUACAGAUGUAAACUACUGGGCCCAGCCCUAAUUUACAUGUUUUAAAGCACCUGGAAAUCUUAUCUUCUUAUUAGAUACUGUUGUAUGAGGAUUUCUAUAAUGUUGGGAACCUAGAGAUACAGACCAAAACAACAUUCAAUUUGUAUAUGAGGUUGGGAUAAAAUAAACCAAGGCUCGGGAAAAGCUCAAGAUAUUCAGAAAAGAUAAGCAGGAUGAGCCCAGAUUGUACUUCUACAAGGGAAGGUGCAGACUUCUAUUGGCACCAUAUCUACUAAGUUAUCAAUGAAACACACAGGUGUAAAAGUUCUAGACCUAAAAUGAAAACCAGCCUCUGGAAAGUGGUAAAUUUGCCAAUUUGGACAUAUCUUGGAAAGGCUAAGUAAAUCACCUUGUCCAGUGCCCUGCUUAUUAGUUAAGAUACAUGCAAAUCAUUUCAGUAUGGGGGAUCAAUCAUAUCACCAUCAUCAUCAUCAUCAUCAUAUCACCAUCAUCACGAUCAUCAUCAUCAUCAUCAUCAUGAACAUGUGGCAGCACUAGGCCAAAAGAACAGAGGCCUAGUCUCCUCUCCUUCCAGGCUCCGGGCUCUAGCCAGACCACCUCUCAUUGAGCAGAUACUAAGGAAAGAUAGUUCUGAAAUUGUAAUCCCUUCCAAAUACUCUAACCAUGAUAGUUUACCUCUUAUCUAACCAGGCAAAUGCUGUGACUCUCUUUAUGCUGUUUGAAGCUUAUAUCAGCAAGACACUGGAGCCAAAGCCAGUCUUAAGCAGUGACAAUACUUCAAUGUUUAUUCCAUGCCCUAUUUCCUCACAAUCACUUAGACAAUCAUACAGUGUUACAAAAUGC